UUCACCCCCUUUUUGGGGUGCCCAGCCAAAAGAGCUAGAAGAGCUGCAGAAGAUGAUUUUCCUCUUAGGUUUAGGUAAUGUGGGCUUUGGAUUCAUUGACUGAAUCUGCUAACCAAGAUAUUUUCUUUCUUCCAGCAAUUUUUCUGACCAGAAAAACACUUCCAGUGUGGAUGAAAACGGAACUGGAGAAGUUUUGAAAACAUGUAAAAGUUUGUUUCAAAAGCGAGCAGUUGGUAAGAAAUUGAGGGCAGAAUGGCCUGUGGGGUUAUCAUUGUGUCAUCCAGAUUGGCAGGGACUUCUGGUGGCAAUGAAAGAUGAUCAGGGAUCCAGCCUCUUCCUCUGAUUCAUCUGAGUAAAACACAAAAAGUGGACAGGAAACAUGAAUGCUGAAAAAGUUAAAUCCAGUCCAGCUCCAGAUUGUCAGCAAUCUGUAGCAUGCUGAGUGGAGAGGACUGUGGUGGAAAUACCUAUGAAGCAGCGAGAGCCUUAUCAAGGUACUGUACCAGGAAAUACACCGCUUUCUUUCCUUCUUCAUGCACGAUACUGUGAUUAAACCCAACAGCACGCCUCAUCAUAACAUGUGCCUUAUCAGCCCCACUAUCUGAUGACAACAGCAGCCCUCAGGAGACCAGACUGACAUCAUCCAAAACCUCAGUAGUUCAAGACUGAGGUAUGUAGCUCGGCUGCAAGCUGUGCUUGACUGUGUUGAUUUGUUUGUACUAAACUUGCAGGUACUUUGCUAGAGGAAAAGGAAUAUAAAAAUCAAGCCCAAACAAUGUUUCAGAAUGUUCCUGACAGGCUGUCAUGCUGUUUAGCAAAUGAAUGCAGCAAGCAAAGGAGGUUUUUGUCCUCAGCAAGUACCACAAGUCUGCUCCCCAGCUUUCUGUAGCUUUGAGAGAGGGGGGAAAAAAGGCCAAACCAAGACAUUGUCACUGCCUUGAGGACAGUGCUACUGGUGAUUCAGUAUGGAGUCCCACUCCCAGCUGACCCGAAUUCAGUUGCAUGUGGCUGUGAGGUUUGGGUUCAUCCCGUACCACAAGCAGGGGCCAGCUUUUGAUCCAGCUGGAGCUCUGAAUCUUCAGAUUCUAAACGUCAUCAUGGCUGGUUCAUUGCCAGUGUUCUUGUUUGGUUGCUGCUGGUUCACUGAGGCAAAUCAUACCGACUCUGGCCUCCUUUCUAUAAUUUAAAGUGAGGAGAAUUUCUACCGUCACAAAAAUAAGAAACAGAAAAUAGAGUAGGUUUUUCUUGUGUAACAUUCAGCAAACAUCUCUGGUUUUUAUUUGUUCUCCCUUUCCUGGGUUCUUCAAAACACCUUCUCUCAUUUACGUCAGUGUAGAUUUACCACACCCCACUUAUUUCAGACCUGGACAGCACCACGGAAAAAGAUUACCAGUCUUCUGGAGCAGCUUCCUUAUGCCUUGGACAAAAGAAGAUCAUAUGGGACCAUAUUCAUUCAAGAACAGCCUUUGUAUUUGUACAGAACCUAGCACAAGUGAGCCUACUCCUUCUUGAAGUUUGCUGUACUACAAAAUUGUUCUUAAAACACCCCCUGUUUUUAAUGUUUGGGUUUUGGUUGGUUUGGUUUUAGUUGCAAUGCAAGCUUUCAGAGGGAAAUCAAGCCGGAUUUUAAUGAUGAGUGCAUGCAUAGCAACAAAAGUAGGGCCAUCCAGCACACGGCUGCUAAGUGUCCAUUUACAGCCCCCAUUGAGCCCAGCAGCCACCCCCCCGGCCAUGCAUAGUGGGCCUGACUGCCCGCUGUGACCCCGGGUGAGGGAGGGCCUCACUGUGCCCUGGAGGAUUUUGAGAUGUCCCUGCGUCUGUCACAUGGAUUUGGGGAGCUGCUUUGCAAAAGAGACCUUGUCUUCCAGGACAGUAGUUGCAUCCUCACCGUGUACUCGCUGCUCUCAUAAACUGCUGCUUUCUUCCCCUCCCAUCGCACCUGCCUCCCCCGCAGCGCCGGGCACAGGAUGAGUAACCAGGCAGGUUAUGAGUGUCAGCUCCUUCAGCAACGUGGAAAGGACUGAAAACUACCCAGCUAAAGAAAAAUACAGAGGAUUUUUAUUUUACUGUCUCAGUGAAGGCUUGGCUCAAGGGGCGGGCUGGAAAGAGGUCUGGUGGAAAUAAGACUUGCCUUCUAAGAUGAAGGAUUAGAUAAAUCCAGCUGUGUUGUGGGACUGCUGGAAGCCUACCCGAACAAGUGUGGGGAACUUACAGUGGUUUUUGAGGCAUAUUUCUAUUGUCUAUUUUGUUGAACAUAUUUCUUUGUCUUUAGGAACUUUAAGGAGCACUGAGAACACAAUGUGCCAUAGGGGGAAGACUUACAGAAAGACUUGAUUAGAAAAUGGAAUAAUUUUUAAAUGUCUUCUCCUACAAUACUUUCUAAAAUAUUCCUACUCUGAAGCACACUUGCUAUUUUCUGCCUGAUGUGUACACCCCUGGCUUUUACAGCUCUGCUAUACUAUUCAGUUAGUGCUUUGAUUUACUCUCAUCAUUGCUAAAAAUACUGUAAAAACCCACUUUUAAAUAAACAACAGUGGAAGGUUUUUGAGGUAGGAGUUUGGUAAGAAGUACAGGUGGCAUUUUUCAGGUUUAGAGGCAGCUUCUGGUCUCACUUUCCUGAAGAGGAAACCCUUUUGAAUGGCUCUUGUGAAAUAUGCUGAUGGUCUGAGCAUCCUCAGCACCAACUCCCCAUGACAAUUGCCACUGAUUGACCACUUGCUGGCUGUCUCCGCUGCAGCCCAGGAAUGGAUGAGUCAUGGAAACAGAAUUCCCCUUCACCCUGGCUGCCUCCCAGGCCCUCUGGGGGACCGCAUUGACAGCAGAGGAAAGUCAGCACUGUUUUUUUUGACACUGUGAGUCAUCGAUCAAACAAAACUCUUCUGCUUCCACGGACUCGAUAUCACGGCAACGUUUUUCAUGAGUGUUACCUGAACAAUUUCAUACUAAGAGAACAAUCUCAAAUAGUGCUGGGCACAUUAUUUUGUGUAGGAAAUUGAUUCUGUGCUACUUCAGGCCAGAAAAGAUGUAUCAUGUUUGCUAGAAGCUUUAUCAGAAGAUGCUGAAACCCAUUGCCAUACUUAGGUGCAGUGGUAUUUAAAUACUGGUUUUCAUUUUUAAUGAUUUUCUGACAUAGGGUUUGGU